UACGUAGGGUCCGAGCGUUGUCCGGAAUUAUUGGGCGUAAAGGGCUCGUAGGCGGUUUGUCGCGUCGGGAGUGAAAACACCGGGCUUAACUCGGUGCUUGCUUUCGAUACGGGCAGACUGGAGGUAUGCAGGGGGGAACGGAAUUCCUGGUGUAGCGGUGAAAUGCGCAGAUAUCAGGAGGAACACCGGUGGCGAAGGCGGUUCUCUGGGCAUUACCUGACGCUGAGGAGCGAAAGUGUGGGGAGCGAACAGG
rnacentral:rRNA from 1 species